AUUGUGGAAAAAACACAAAAUAUUUAUUUUAUUCUGUCUGUAUUUAUGAGAAAUUCUUAAAAAAGUGAAUUCCACUCUUCAUUAAGCAGAAAAAGAAUUUCCUCCCAUUAUUUUUCUGGACUGUUUAUUAUUUGGCUGGCUUAUGAUUUUUGUAUCUUUAAAAAUAUAUUUAAGACUCUUAAAUACCUGACUUGAGCACUCUGAACAUUGAAUAUAUAGAAAAAAUGUGAAUUGUGGAAUACAGGGUCUUUUUCUUAUGUUGAGAAGUGGUGGGCUUGGCUUUUUCUAGCUCACUGUUAGCUCUCAAGCUAGGUUUAUACUUCUAGAGAAUCAGAACUCAAAGGGAUGUAUUUGAGUCAGUAGUCAUGAAUACCCCCACACAUCAGAUAAUCUCGGUCUAGAAAGAGGAAUAAGCUUCAUGUAGUGUGAAUGUACACAAGCCUUUUCAUGGAUAGCUAUUCAUUCAAGAAAUGUUGAAAUAGUCUUGACCGUCUAUUAUUUGCUGUUUUCAUUCAUCCAUUCUCCCCUUUAGUAUGGCAUGUUGCAUAAAGGACAGAGUGUUGUUUCUACCUUUUCUGAAAAUGAUUCUGUAAAUGUUUAAGCAGCUACUGUAUAGUUAUGCACACACGUGUGUUACGUAUGUCCAGAUCAGUCUAACCAGCUAAUU
rnacentral:lncRNA from 1 species